ACUUAAAUUGAAGAGUUUGAUCAUGGCUCAGAUUGAACGCUGGCGGCAGGCCUAACACAUGCAAGUCGAGCGGUAACACAGAGAGCUUGCUCUCGGGUGACGAGCGGCGGACGGGUGAGUAAUGUCUGGGAAGCUGCCUGAUGGAGGGGGAUAACUACUGGAAACGGUAGCUAAUACCGCAUAACGUCGCAAGACCAAAGUGGGGGACCUUCGGGCCUCAUGCCAUCAGAUGUGCCCAGAUGGGAUUAGCUAGUAGGUGGGGUAAUGGCUCACCUAGGCGACGAUCCCUAGCUGGUCUGAGAGGAUGACCAGCCACACUGGAACUGAGACACGGUCCAGACUCCUACGGGAGGCAGCAGUGGGGAAUAUUGCACAAUGGGCGCAAGCCUGAUGCAGCCAUGCCGCGUGUAUGAAGAAGGCCUUCGGGUUGUAAAGUACUUUCAGCGAGGAGGAAGGCAUUAAGGUUAAUAACCUUGGUGAUUGACGUUACUCGCAGAAGAAGCACCGGCUAACUCCGUGCCAGCAGCCGCGGUAAUACGGAGGGUGCAAGCGUUAAUCGGAAUUACUGGGCGUAAAGCGCACGCAGGCGGUCUGUCAAGUCGGAUGUGAAAUCCCCGGGCUCAACCUGGGAACUGCAUUCGAAACUGGCAGGCUAGAGUCUUGUAGAGGGGGGUAGAAUUCCAGGUGUAGCGGUGAAAUGCGUAGAGAUCUGGAGGAAUACCGGUGGCGAAGGCGGCCCCCUGGACAAAGACUGACGCUCAGGUGCGAAAGCGUGGGGAGCAAACAGGAUUAGAUACCCUGGUAGUCCACGCCGUAAACGAUGUCGACUUGGAGGUUGUGCCCUUGAGGCGUGGCUUCCGGAGCUAACGCGUUAAGUCGACCGCCUGGGGAGUACGGCCGCAAGGUUAAAACUCAAAUGAAUUGACGGGGGCCCGCACAAGCGGUGGAGCAUGUGGUUUAAUUCGAUGCAACGCGAAGAACCUUACCUACUCUUGACAUCCAGAGAACUUAGCAGAGAUGCUUUGGUGCCUUCGGGAACUCUGAGACAGGUGCUGCAUGGCUGUCGUCAGCUCGUGUUGUGAAAUGUUGGGUUAAGUCCCGCAACGAGCGCAACCCUUAUCCUUUGUUGCCAGCGGUCCGGCCGGGAACUCAAAGGAGACUGCCAGUGAUAAACUGGAGGAAGGUGGGGAUGACGUCAAGUCAUCAUGGCCCUUACGAGUAGGGCUACACACGUGCUACAAUGGCAUAUACAAAGAGAAGCGACCUCGCGAGAGCAAGCGGACCUCAUAAAGUAUGUCGUAGUCCGGAUUGGAGUCUGCAACUCGACUCCAUGAAGUCGGAAUCGCUAGUAAUCGUAGAUCAGAAUGCUACGGUGAAUACGUUCCCGGGCCUUGUACACACCGCCCGUCACACCAUGGGAGUGGGUUGCAAAAGAAGUAGGUAGCUUAACCUUCGGGAGGGCGCUUACCACUUUGUGAUUCAUGACUGGGGUGAAGUCGUAACAAGGUAACCGUAGGGGAACCUGCGGUUGGAUCACCUCCUUACCUUAAAGAA
rnacentral:rRNA from 1 species